rnacentral:sRNA from 1 species
GGUAGAGUAUUAAUCUACCACUGAACCAUUGGUGCUACUUGUUGUGUAUGUAUUUAAAUAUGUGUUAAUAUUGUUUGAGCGAAUUCAUCAAUCAUCAAUCACCUCUCUUCAUGUAAUUUGUUAUUAUAAGUUUGGAAGUAACAAUCUACAUAUACAUUUUUGCAGCCAUUUUAUGAAAUAAAUCCUGUAGUUGGGACUUAUUUACAAUGGCUGCCACUAGAUUUUAAUGUUUGUUUUUUA